rnacentral:tRNA from 1 species
GCCUGGCUGGCUCAGUAGGUAGAGCAUGUGACUCUUGAUCUCAGGUUUGUAGGUUUGGGCCCCACACUGGGUG